rnacentral:rRNA from 1 species
GCUAAUACCGAAUAUGACCACAUGUCGCAUGGUGUGUGGUGGAAAGUUUUUCGGCCUGGGAUGGGCUCGCGGCCUAUCAGCUUGUUGGUGGGGUGAUGGCCUACCAAGGCGACGACGGGUAGCCGGCCUGAGAGGGCGACCGGCCACACUGGGACUGAGACACGGCCCAGACUCCUACGGGAGGCAGCAGUGGGGAAUAUUGCACAAUGGGCGGAAGCCUGAUGCAGCGACGCCGCGUGAGGGAUGACGGCCUUCGGGUUGUAAACCUCUUUCAGCAGGGACGAAGCGUAAGUGACGGUACCUGCAGAAGAAGCGCCGGCCAACUACGUGCCAGCAGCCGCGGUAAGACGUAGGGCGCGAGCGUUGUCCGGAUUUAUUGGGCGUAAAGAGCUCGUAGGCGGCUUGUCGCGUCGACCGUGAAAACCUGGGGCUCAACCCCAGGCCUGCGGUCGAUACGGGCAGGCUAGAGUUCGGUAGGGGAGACUGGAAUUCCUGGUGUAGCGGUGA